AUCCAACUGACGAGUCCGAAAAAGGACGAAACGCGCGUCCUGGAU
rnacentral:hammerhead_ribozyme from 1 species